AACGAACGCUGGCGGCGUGUUUAAGACAUGCAAGUCGCACGGGGCAGUUUGAGUAGCAAUACGAGAAUUGUUCAGUGGCGCACGGGUGAGUAACACGUGAAUUACAUGCCCUUCAGAGGGGGAUAGCCCAGGGAAACUUGGAUUAAUACCCCAUGGACUCGCGAGAGUAAAGGUGGCCGCAAGGCUGUCGCUGGAGGAUUGGUUCGCGCCCUAUCAGCUUGUUGGUGAGGUAACGGCUCACCAAGGCUACGACGGGUACCUGGUCUGAGAGGACGAUCAGGCACACUGGAACUGAGACACGGUCCAGACACCUACGGGUGGCAGCAGUCGAGAAUAAUUCACAAUGGGGGCAACCCUGAUGGUGCAACGCCGCGUGGAGGAUGACGGUCUGCGGAUUGUAAACUCCUGUCAUCUGGGAGUAAGACCUGGUCGUGAAUAGCGGACAGGGUUGAUAGUACCAGAAGAGGAAGGGACGGCUAACUUCGUGCCAGCAGCCGCCGUAAAAC
rnacentral:rRNA from 1 species